GUAGAAAGUAAUCACCAGUAAAAAGAACGCAUAGAAACAACAAGAAGGGACCAUGAUCGAAUCAAAUCGAAGAAGAAAGUUUGCAACUCAAGAUUAGUAAUGGCAUGAAUUAUCCAAGUUGUUGGUCACGGACAGUAACAGAUUCAGGCAGGUUGGGAGACAAAUGCUGACUGCUGACUAGGGAAAGAGAAAAUGACACAAAGUUUGGAGUAAAAAGCAGAGGAGAAGCAAAUAAACUACAAUGGUCAUAUUAUAGUAAAACAUAGACUUGUGUUGUGUGUUCAGUUUAAGUAAUCUGGUUUUUGGCUUCUUGCUUAAUGCAAUUAUUGAGUUAUGUUUCCUAACCUCUUGUAUUAUUAUAAGCACGUUUUAUUAUUUCUCAUUUUCAGCA